rnacentral:ncRNA from 1 species
AAAUAAAAUUUUUAUGAUUUAUAAAAUUUUUUUAAAGUUUAUUUUACAUAUAAAUUUUAGUAUGAAGUUUUAAUUAUUUUAAUAAUAAUUAAUUUAUUUUGUAGUAAUUAAUAUUAAAAAUUUAAGAAAUUAAGAUUUAGUAAUAUUAAAAUUAAUAACAAAUUUUGUGCCAGCAGUUGCGGUUAAACAAAAGUUAAAUUAAAUUUUAUUAGAAUAUUAAUAAAUAUAAAUAAUUAUUAAUUUAAAUAUUAAAUUAUUAGGUGAAAUUAUAAUUUAUUAAAAAAUUAUUAAAAUUAUAUGAUUUAAUAAAUUUUAUUAUAAACUAGGAUUAGAUACCCUAUUAUUAAAAAUUUAAAAAUAAAUACUAAAAUAGUAUAUAAUUAUUUAUUGAAACUUAAAUAAUUUGGCGGUAUUUUAGUUCAUUUAGAGGAAUCUGUUUAUUAAUUGAUAAUCCACGAAUAAUUUUACUUAAUUUUAUAAUUUUGUAUAUCGUUGUUAAAAAAAUAUUUUUAAAUGAUUUUAAUAUUUAAAAAUUUAUAAUAAAAAUUAAAUCAGAUCAAGAUGCAGAUUAUAAUUAAGAAUAUAAUGGAUUACAAUAAAUUUAUUUAUAUGAAUAUUUAAUUGAAAAAUUGAAUUGAAGGUGGAUUUAAAUGUAAUUUUAUUUAAUUUAUUAAAAUGAUUUAAAAUUAAAAUAUGUACAUAUUGCCCGUCGCUUUCAUUUAUAAAUUGAAAUAAGUCGUAACAAAGUAGAGGUACUGGAAAGUGUUUCUAGAAAGA